rnacentral:lncRNA from 10 species
UCGAACUCCUGACCUCAAAUAGUCUGCUCGCUUCAGCAUCCCAAAGUGCUGGGAUUACAGGCAUGAGCCACUGUGCCUGGCUAGGAAUACAUUUAAUAUAGUGGUGAGAAACACUGGUUUGGAAGUCGGACAAGUCAACAUUUAAAUCCUGACUCUGCCACUUACUACUCAGGUGACCUUGGAUGAGUUACUUGAACUGUCUGAGCCUCCGUUUCUUCAUCUACUAAAUGGGGAUACUGUGAAUUACCUCAUGGAGUGUUGGUGAGGAUUUAAAGUGAUAAAUCAUGUAAAGUGGUUAGCCGGGUGUACAGCUUAUGGUAAAACUCAGUGAAUGUUAGUAGAUAUUACUACCCACAUACCUUACCCUGUUUGAUCCUGCUUCCCAUAGCCUUCCUGACUUUGUUCUUCUGUUCAAUGUUUAUCUAAUGCCUACUGUUUUCCAGGUACUGUACAAUAGAGAGUAAGUUAUCCAGGAGUGAGGAAGUUGGCUUUCUUACCUAUUUGUUCCUCAAACACCCCUUCCUUUACCUCCUUCCUUCCUUCCUUUCAACUGAAGUUUACUCUCAUUUUACCCUCCCACCGGCUUCCAGUUCUUCCUGCAUUGUUCCUACUCCAUUUUUCCUUCUUUCACUGAUGUCUUAUCACUUCACUUUGAUUCUUAUCCUCCUAAUACACAUACAUUUUUUCACCUUCUACAUUAUUCUUCAUCCCAUUUGGGGCCAUCAUAGUGAAAAAAAGGGCUGAAUUUUCAAACUAGGAAAGAGAAUUCUGUCAUGCUGUGUGUAUGUGUAUAUGUGUGUGUGUGUGUCUGAGGAACACACACAUUAAUUCACAUUCAACAGUAACUCUAUAGCUGACUUCUGAACUCCUACGUUUGAACUGUGUGCUUGUUUGCCUCUCUAUCCCCUCUAUUUAAGCUCUUAAAAUACAAGUCUAUUUCUUUGCCUGCCUACCUGUCUGCUCUGUCCUUGCCUCU